rnacentral:lncRNA from 1 species
GAUGGAGAGUAUGUCAUCCUAGAAAAAGCCUGUGAGGAGUUUCCCGUUUCACACAUCAAUGCCACGUCUAAAAAGCAACUUGAAGCCAGCCCCAUCGACUUACAUGCAGUGUGUCUCCCUGAGCUUUGCAUGAACUGACUUUCAUAGACACAAAAUCGAGAUAAAGUCAUUUGUGGAGGAAGCACCACUACAUGGAGGGAUUGUAAAAGGCUUCCUGGAGGAGAUGGCAUUGAGUUGAGCCUUGAACAAGUGCUUGAACUUCCAAGAGGCAGAAGAAGAAGAUGGGAGCCUGAUUAAAAAAAGAAAGAAGGCAAUUCACGCUGAUUUGAAACAGGAUGGUGAGAAGAUUGGAGGGCCACCAGGACCUGCUCAGCCUGAGUGCCCAUCAGUGGGAGAUGGAGCUGGGCAAGUGAAAUUGUCCUCAUUUAUGAAGUGUACAAUGGUCCCAGUUACCCAAGAGCCUGAUUCUCUCUCAGUGAAUCUGGAUUCCCUCAUCUGAGAACAUCUUAUGGAAAAUGAUUCUUUGGGUU